GGGUUGUGAGGUUAAGCGACUAAGCGUACACGGUGGAUGCCCUGGCAGUCAGAGGCGAUGAAGGACGUGCUAAUCUGCGAUAAGCGUCGGUAAGGUGAUAUGAACCGUUAUAACCGGCGAUUUCCGAAUGGGGAAACCCAGUGUGAUUCGUCACACUAUCAUUAACUGAAUCCAUAGGUUAAU
rnacentral:rRNA from 2 species